ACCACAGGAUGUGAGGAACUAGGCUCUGCUACUGGAGGAGGGGGAGGAAUCUCUUUCCGACGGGAAGAGUGUCUUGCUGAUCCGAUUGCAGUCGAAUGUUGGGCUCUAGUUUUCUCCAUGGUGAAUAUUGUCUCUCUUCUCCCUACCUGACGUGCCAAUCUAUUGCGGCCAACUCUCCAUCGUCUAUCGUCAGAAACGAACACCUGCAAGACAACGUCCACACUGAUCGGAUUUGUGUCCGACAGAGACCCUCCGAUGCUUAAGUUAGAGAGGAAAGUUGGUGAACAGUAGAUGUCAAUACUUAGAGUAGCAGAGUUCUGGCUAGAAAUGACUUACCAGUCCUAUUUUUCUUACCCCCUUUUAUAGACGAAGUUCUUGUAGCCGUCAAAUGUGGUCCCGUAUUUUAUGGCGCUAAAUCAUCGGGCCAUAAUCAUGUAGUAGGUCAUUAAUUUUCUAAUUAUGAUGCCGUGAUGUGCGGUCGGUAACCGUUCGUGACGGUUAAGACAUAUUGAGCAGAUUAGCUGACUGUAUGUUGGUAGUAGGCAUGAUCGUCAGUUGAUGAUUCUGCUGUAUUGUCGGUCACCGACCAUAAGUUGGUGACAUUUGUUCAAUUGGUUGAUGAAGAGUCGGAGUCGUCAGUUC
rnacentral:lncRNA from 1 species